GGACGAACGCUGGCGGCGUGCUUAACACAUGCAAGUCGAACGGAAAGGUCCUGCUUUUGUGGGGUGCUCGAGUGGCGAACGGGUGAGUAACACGUGAGUAACCUGCCCUUGACUUUGGGAUAACUUCAGGAAACUGGGGCUAAUACCGGAUAGGAGCUCCUGCUGCAUGGUGGGGGUUGGAAAGUUUCGGCGGUUGGGGAUGGACUCGCGGCUUAUCAGCUUGUUGGUGGGGUAGUGGCUUACCAAGGCUUUGACGGGUAGCCGGCCUGAGAGGGUGACCGGCCACAUUGGGACUGAGAUACGGCCCAGACUCCUACGGGAGGCAGCAGUGGGGAAUAUUGCACAAUGGGCGGAAGCCUGAUGCAGCAACGCCGCGUGCGGGAUGACGGCCUUCGGGUUGUAAACCGCUUUCGCCUGUGACGAAGCGUGAGUGACGGUAAUGGGUAAAGAAGCACCGGCUAACUACGUG
rnacentral:rRNA from 1 species